rnacentral:rRNA from 2 species
GAUUAUUGGGCGUAAGCGCGCGCAGGCGGUUUCUUAAGUCUGAUGUGAAAGCCCACGGCUCAACCGUGGAGGGUCAUUGGAAACUGGGGAACUUGAGUGCAGAAGAGAAAAGCGGAAUUCCACGUGUAGCGGUGAAAUGCGUAGAGAUGUGGAGGAACACCAGUGGCGAAGGCGGCUUUUUGGUCUGUAACUGACGCUGAGGCGCGAAAGCGUGGGGAGCAAACAGGAUUAGAUACCCUGGUAGUCCACGCCGUAAACGAUGAGUGCUAAGUGUUAGAGGGUUUCCGCCCUUUAGUGCUGCAGCUAACGCAUUAAGCACUCCGCCUGGGGAGUACGGUCGCAAGACUGAAACUCAAAGGAAUUGACGGGGGCCCGCACAAGCGGUGGAGCAUGUGGUU